AUUGAACGCUGGCGGCAGGCCUAACACAUGCAAGUCGAACGAGUGGCGGACGGGUGAGUAAUGUCUGGGAAACUGCCCGCUGGAGGGGGAUAACUACGGGAAACGGUAGCUAAUACCGCAUACCCUUGGAUGUGCCCAGGUGGGAUUAGGUGGUUGGGGGGGUAAGGGCUCACCAAGGCGACGAUCCCUAGCUGGUCUGAGAGGAUGACCAGCCAAACUGGAAUGGAGACACGUCCCAGACUCCUACGGGAGGCAGCAGUGGGGAAUAUUGCAAAAUGGGGGCAACCCUGAUGCAGCCAUGCCGCGUGUAUGAAGAAGGCCUUCGGGUUGUAAAGUACUUUCAGCGGGGAGGCGUUAACUGCAGAAGAAGCACCGGCUAACUCCGUGCCAGCAGCCGCGGUAAUUC
rnacentral:rRNA from 1 species